rnacentral:rRNA from 1 species
UACGGAGGGUGCAAGCGUUAUCCGGAUUUACUGGGUUUAAAGGGUGCGCAGGCGGAUAUGUAAGUCAGUGGUGAAAUCUCCGGGCUUAACCCGGAACUGCCGUUGAUACUAUCUAUCUUGAAUGCUGUGGAGGUAAGCAGAAUAUGUCAUGUAGCGGUGAAAUGCUUAGAUAUGACAUAGAAUACCUAUUGCGAAGGCAGCUUACUACGCAGAUAUUGACGCUCAUGCACGAAAGCGUGGGGAUCAAACAGG